UGGGGAAUAUUGCACAAUGGGCGCAAGCCUGAUGCAGCCAUGCCGCGUGUAUGAAGAAGGCCUUCGGGUUGUAAAGUACUUUCAGCGGGGAGGAAGGCGAUAAGGUUAAUAACCUUGUCGAUUGACGUUACCCGCAGAAGAAGCACCGGCUAACUCCGUGCCAGCAGCCGCGGUAAUACGGAGGGUGCAAGCGUUAAUCGAAAUUACUGGGCGUAAAGCGCACGCAGGCGGUCUGUCAAGUCGGAUGUGAAAUCCCCGGGCUCAACCUGGGAACUGCAUUCGAAACUGGCAGGCUAGAGUCUUGUAGAGGGGGGUAGAAUUCCAGGUGUAGCGGUGAAAUGCGUAGAGAUCUGGAGGAAUACCGGUGGCGAAGGCGGCCCCCUGGACAAAGACUGACGCUCAGGUGCGAAAGCGUGGGGAGCAAACA
rnacentral:rRNA from 1 species